rnacentral:snoRNA from 1 species
UAACGAUGACAUCUAGAUGACGAGUCUGAAAAUUUGGCAGUGAUGUUUAUUGCUGUCAAAAAUAUGUCGAGACUCAUUUUAUUUUCCAUUCAUGCAAUUCUGAAU